rnacentral:rRNA from 1 species
UACGAAGGGGGCUAGCGUUGCUCGGAAUCACUGGGCGUAAAGGGUGCGUAGGCGGGUUUUUAAGUCGGGGGUGAAAUCCUGGAGCUCAACUCCAGAACUGCCUUCGAUACUGGAAGACUUGAGUCCGGGAGAGGUGAGUGGAACUGCGAGUGUAGAGGUGAAAUUCGUAGAUAUUCGCAAGAACACCAGUGGCGAAGGCGGCUCACUGGCCCGGUACUGACGCUGAGGUGCGAAAGCGUGGGGAGCAAACAGG